AUUGAACGCUGGCGGCAGGCCUAACACAUGCAAGUCGAGCGGAUGAGAAGAGCUUGCUCUUCGAGUUAGCGGCGGACGGGCGAGUAAUGCCUAGGAAUCUGCCUGGCAGUGGGGGACAACGUUACGAAAGGAACGCUAAUACAGCAUACGUCCUACGGGAGAAAGCAGGGGACCUUCGGGUCUUGCGCUAUCAGAUGAGCCUGGGUCGGAUUAGAUAGUUGGUGAGGUAAUGGGUCACCAAGGCGACGAUCCGUAACUGGUCUGAGAGGGUGAUCAGUCACACUGGAACUGAGAGACGGGCCAGACUCCUACGGGAGGCAGCAGUGGGGGAUAUUGGACAAUGGGCGAAAGCCUGAUCCAGCCAUGCCGCGUGUGUGAAGAAGGUCUUCGGAUUGUAAAGCACUUUAAGUUGGGAGGAAGGGCAGUAAGCGAAUACCUUGCUGUUUUGACGUUACCAACAGAAUAAGCACCGGCUAACUCUGUGCCAGCCGCCGCGGUAAAAC
rnacentral:rRNA from 1 species